rnacentral:lncRNA from 1 species
CAUCCCGUUUUCAAACAACUCUUUCAUAUCAUUGGGAUCCAUUCUUAGAGCUUUAGCCAUUUGGUCAAGGAUUUUCAGGGCAAGAUUUUUAAGUUCUGUCAAGUAAACUUCCAAGUCAUCUCUGCAUGCAAAUUACGAUAUACAGUCCAGUAAUUAUCAUAAGAUAGAAUAUACUAUAUAGCAAAACUCUACGCUUCAAAUAUAGAACCUGAAUGGAAGAGGCAACUUGGGGAACAAGUGGGGUUUCCUCAGAUGAGUUGGGAAAGUGGUCAAAGUAAAGCCGUAUCCCCAAUCAAGUUUCUGCUCUUCAGACGUAAUAAAGAGCUGCCCAAAUCCCUCAAUAUCUCCUGGCUGUUGCCAAAACUUCUUUUUCUCAUCUAUUGGAAGAUUAAAGAAGUCUUGAAUCUCUGCUUUCACUUUCUCCACCAAUGAACUGCUCACUCCAUGAUUCAUCAACUGCAUGCAUGCAAAUUAAAGCAAGAUGUCCUUUCCAUAUAUACAUGGUUCAUAAAGGAAAUUCUGAAGUGCAGGAAACAAAAUGAUUUUUAUGGAAAAAGCCAAAGAAACGGAGAGCUGAUAAAAUGCGAACAAAAACAACGAUAAAUUAGUCUCUGUUUACUGUGUUUACAAUCAAGUGACUAAUCCGGUACCGAUUUACUUCCUUUUUGUCAACGUUUUGUCUAAUUUUUAUUAUCUGAAUAUCACUGCUAAAUUGUUAUGUACCUGACAGAAACCCCACUCUUUACAUGCACGGUCAAGCUUCUCAAGCUCUGAGUCAUCUCCAGAGAGCAACUUGUGCAUAUCAAUGACUGGAAGUUGUUGUGCUGAAGAAUCGUCGGUGCGAAUCAAGGGAUGGUCCAUCUCAGGGCGAACAUAACGUGGAGGAAUUGUGAUCAGUGGCUUAUUAUGUGCCAGCUCCAGAAUCGAAGGCUCCACGAGAGAACUCCCAAUAUCUGUCGCUUCUGCCUCC